rnacentral:rRNA from 1 species
UGCAGUCGAGCGAAUGGAUUAAGAGCUUGCUCUUAUGAAGUUAGCGGCGGACGGGUGAGUAACACGUGGGUAACCUGCCCAUAAGACUGGGAUAACUCCGGGAAACCGGGGCUAAUACCGGAUAACAUUUUGAACCGCAUGGUUCGAAAUUGAAAGGCGGCUUCGGCUGUCACUUAUGGAUGGACCCGCGUCGCAUUAGCUAGUUGGUGAGGUAACGGCUCACCAAGGCAACGAUGCGUAGCCGACCUGAGAGGGUGAUCGGCCACACUGGGACUGAGACACGGCCCAGACUCCUACGGGAGGCAGCAGUAGGGAAUCUUCCGCAAUGGACGAAAGUCUGACGGAGCAACGCCGCGUGAGUGAUGAAGGCUUUCGGGUCGUAAAACUCUGUUGUUAGGGAAGAACAAGUGCUAGUUGAAUAAGCUGGCACCUUGACGGUACCUAACCAGAAAGCCACGGCUAACUACGUGCCAGCAGCCGCGGUAAUACGUAGGUGGCAAGCGUUAUCCGGAAUUAUUGGGCGUAAAGCGCGCGCAGGUGGUUUCUUAAGUCUGAUGUG